GCCGGCAGCUAGCUCUCUGCAACUCUCACAUGGUCGCCCACUGAAGCUAAGCAGGGCUGCGCCCGGUCAGUACCUGGAUGGGAGACCACAUGGGAAAGCUAGGUUGCUGCUGGAA
rfam:Danio rerio chromosome 23, GRCz11 reference primary assembly.